rnacentral:rRNA from 1 species
GUAGGUGGCAAGCGUUGUCCGGAAUUAUUGGGCGUAAAGCGCGCGCAGGCGGUUCUUUAAGUCUGAUGUGAAAGCCCACGGCUCAACCGUGGAGGGUCAUUGGAAACUGGAGAACUUGAGUACAGAAGAGGAAAGCGGAAUUCCACGUGUAGCGGUGAAAUGCGUAGAGAUGUGGAGGAACACCAGUGGCGAAGGCGGCUUUCUGGUCUGUAACUGACGCUGAGGCGCGAAAGCGUGGGGAGCAAACAGGGAUUAGAUACCCUGGUAGCCCACGCCGUAAACGAUGAGUGCUAAUGUUAGGGGGGUUUCCGCCCCCCUUAGUGCUGCAGCUAACGCAUUAAGCACUCCGCCUGGGGAGUACGGCCGCAAGGCUG